GACGAACGCUGGCGGCGCGCCUAACACAUGCAAGUCGAACGGAGCUGCGAUAAGCUUGCUUUUCUUAGCUUAGUGGCGAACGGGUGAGUAACGCGUGAGUAACCUGCCCUGGAGUGGGGGACAACAGUUGGAAACGACUGCUAAUACCGCAUAAGCCCACGAUCCGGCAUCGGAUUGAGGGAAAAGGAUUUAUUCGCUUCAGGAUGGACUCGCGUCCAAUUAGCUAGUUGGUGAGGUAACGGCCCACCAAGGCGACGAUUGGUAGCCGGACUGAGAGGUUGAACGGCCACAUUGGGACUGAGACACGGCCCAGACUCCUACGGGAGGCAGCAGUGGGGGAUAUUGCACAAUGGGGGAAACCCUGAUGCAGCGACGCCGCGUGGAGGAAGAAGGUUUUCGGAUUGUAAACUCCUGUCGUUAGGGACGAUAAUGACGGUACCUAACAAGAAAGCACCGGCUAACUACGUG
rnacentral:rRNA from 1 species